rnacentral:rRNA from 1 species
UACGGAGGGUGCAAGCGUUGUUCGGAAUCAUUGGGCGUAAAGCGCGUGUAGGCGGCUUGGCAAGUCAGUUGUGAAAGCCCGGGGCCCAACCCCGGAACUGCAUCUGAAACUGCCUGGCUAGAGUCCCGGAGAGGAAGGCAGAAUUCCCGGUGUAGGGGUGAAAUCCGUAGAUAUCGGGAGGAAUACCAGCGGCGAAGGCGGCCUUCUGGACGGUGACUGACGCCGAGACGCGAAAGCGUGGGGAGCAAACAGG